rnacentral:rRNA from 1 species
GACGAACGCUGGCGGCGCGCCUAACACAUGCAAGUCGAGCGAAGCGGCGAACGGGUGAGUAACGCGUGAGGAACCUGCCUCUCACAACGGGAUAGCCUCGGGAAACCGGGAUUAAUACCGUAUGGUGAGAGAUGGCCUCGCGUCUGAUGAGUUAGUUGGUGGGGUAACGGCCUUCCAAGACGACGAUCAGUAACCGGCGUGAGAGGGUGAACGGUAACAUUGGAACUGGUACACGGUCCAGACUCCUACGGGAGGCAGCAGUGGGGAAUCUUGCAAUAUGGGGGGAAUCGUGAUGCAGCGACGCCGGGUGAGCGAUGAAGGUUUUGGAAUCGUAAAGCUCUGUCAUAUGGGAGGCGGUACCAUAGGAGGAAGCACCGGCUAACUACGUGCCAGCAGCCGCGGUAAUAC